rnacentral:lncRNA from 1 species
AGUAAAUGGGUUCACCUACUUUACCUAGAAGGUCUUUUGAAUUUCAGGUAAAACGCAUCAGAAUGAAUUUCGGCUUCUGGUGGAUCAGGCAAAAAAAGGAUACAAGAAAACUGAUGGAAUGCCAAAAAACAAAGUAAUGAAAAAAGAUGAAUCUACAGAAAAGCUGUCAUCCAUGCAUAUGGGACAGGAAGAUGAUAAAAUGAAAUUUUCAGAUACAACCUCAGUAAGAAAUCACUUUCCUCCAUCAAAUCUAUGCUCCCCAGAAAAGAUGAAGCCUGACAGACAAGAUGAUUCUUCUAGUUGUACCGAUAUUCAGGAAUCAGCUCUUUAUUCAUCGGAAUCAGGUUCAUGCAAUAGUUCCAGUUCAGACAUCAUAAGAGAUCUUCUGGAAGAAGAGGAAGCCUGGGAAGCAUCACAUAAAAAUGAUCUUCAAGACAUAGAAAUAAGCCCAAGACAGAAUCGCCGCACAAGAGCAGCUGAAAGUGCUGAAAUUGAACCAAGAAACAAGCGUAAUAGGAAUUAAUGUGGGCUGUUGCUGAUUUUUUAAUUCAGUGAUCAGAAUGUGGUACUUUUUAUUGCCAUGUAUGGAUUUCAUAUUUAUAAAUGUCCAAGGGAAGAUGUUAAUUCCUAAAUGUUAUGGUUAACUGAUUUCUAGUCUCUUCCGCCUUUCCAGAAAAAGUUGAGCAUCCUCACUUGGUCAGUUGCCUUCUGCCUCUAAAACGUUUCUCCUUAAAAACACUAUCCACAUGUUCACCAGCUUUGCAGAGUGGGUAAACUAUUUGGGAAAGGGAUUUUAUUUGGUUUCUAAAUUUCAAAAUGUCCUUACACAAUCCUCCUUUUCUUCCAUGGACACCAACUUCACAAAAGGAUUCUUUUCUGCCUAUUUACUAUAACAAGCACUUGAGUUAAGAGUAUCUGUAUUUUGUGCUGAUUCACAUUCUUGGUGUGUGUAAGUACCUGAUGCCGUUAUUUCAGCAAACCCAUGACAGCAAUUCAUGAUAGUUAUUUUCUAAGUUGAAUGUAGUUUUUGUUAAACUUGUGUUUUACACAUUACUCAGAAUAGAAUUAUAAUUAAAAGUCACAAAGUUAGUAUUAUAAUUUUUUAAAAGUUACAAAGUUAGUAUUAUAAUUUAAAGUCACAAAGCCAUAAUAACUUUGAAACAUUGAGCUUAUUCUUCUGAAUGGCUCUUAAAAAAGAUUAUUGUUAGUAUUUUUUCAGUUGAGUUGAUCAGAUCUCCAACAUUUUGAAUCCCAGCCAUUUAAUGAAAAGUAUGUAAUAAAUGUAUUUUGUUAAUGAAUGGACUCUUACAUUAAUUUGGAAUAAUGUCCUUAAAACUAUAUCCUAUGAAUAGUUGUGUACAGUUCACAAUUUGUUGGUCAGAAAUUGUUAUCUAAAUGUGAAAAGUACACCAGUAUCUAGUUCCUACUGCUUACUUCUCUUUGGUAUUUCAGAGCCAACCUACCCCCAUCUCUUCCUCUGCUGUUACCCAAACCAAACACAUCAACUUGCAAAUAACAUGGGAGCAAAUGCAGCAGUGUUAAAAUAACAAAUUUAUGGGUAUGCCAGGGAAAGCCUUUGUGAUUUCUCCUUUCAAAAGAAUAUCUCCAGUGACUGGCUUUUUGGUAUGCUUUGGGCUUUCUGAUAACUUGGAGUCUCAUGGUGAGAGUUUAGCAUUUUCAUACUGAAACCCACCAUUUUUCUUUAUGAGUUUACUGAGUUUCAAAUGAUUACAAAAGAAUUUGUCAUAGUCAUUUCAUCUGCCUAAAGCAAUAAAUGGUACACUAAGGAAGUGAGAAGCAGCACCACUCACUGAACUUGUCAGCAGAUCUGAUGUGAUGGUUAGGAGCAUCCAGCCAAAGUGGAGGCUAGUGUUGGUAUAAUGUAUACUAAGUUGCCAGAAAUGAUGCUACAGUGAAAAUGGCUUCUUUCACUAAAAAUUAUAAUCUUAUAAGUUAAACUGCAGGUAAUUACUAUUUUAUUUGCAGCAAGAGGAGUAAAUGGAGCAGUGAGAUCCAAGAGAGGGGGAUCUCUCAUUCAAUAAAUUUGAUUAUCAACUUUGUUAUAUAUCAGUUAUUGUGCUGAGCUCUGGAAGUACAAAGGU